rnacentral:lncRNA from 1 species
UUGUUUGUUUUAGUGUUUUAAAGUAUAGUUUUGCAUUCUUUGAGUCUAGUUAGUGUUUUAAACUUUGUUUUUACGUUUUUAAGUCAGUUUCCAAGUGAUUUAGCAAUCCCUCCUAAUCCCCGGCUUAGAACGAUCCCUACUUACAUACUUUACUACAAUUGAUAAAAAGAGGGUUUAAUUUGUGUGCUUAUAUAUUUCGCAUCAAUUAUGAACCGAUUAAUUUGAUCCAACACGAGCCUUGUGUUGGACCUUGGGUCUAAGGUAGGUAGUUGUUGAUUUUAGUUACGUGUUUAAUCCAAUUAAACCGUUAUUUCCUAUUGGGCGUUGGACCCAACUAUUCCAUUUUGCAUACAUAUAAACAAAAGGAAUACAUGAAAUAAUAAGAAGGGCUUAUGCCCUUUUACAACACAAAUCAAAUGAUGGACUUAUGUCCAUUUACAACAAAUUGAAUUAAUCAAAUUACAUUCAAAUCUACACUACUAAAACCCAAACAUUCAUAAUGUAAAUCGGCCAAUCACAUAACUCAAUUAUCAUGGCCAUUGAUUCAUAAUCACCCUUUUCUUAAUCAAUCACAUUAACUAAGAAAGCAACUUAAACAAUUGGUUGUUGGAUCCAUAGAAUUGAUUUAAAUGGAACUAAAUGAAAUGAAAAUCCAAUUCUCAUUAAAGAGACAAAACAAUUUUGAUCUCUUUUUAUUUGGGCCAAAAGGAAACUAUGACCACAACAAUUGGACCAUAAUGAAAAUACAAAAACUUUUGGGGUCACUUUGUGAUGUGAAAAUUAAGUUGACACACAAAUUAAACCCUAUUGAUGACAAUUGUAGUAAUGAUGCAAGUAGGGAUCGUUCUAGACCGGGGAUUAACUAGGGAUGCUAAUCAACACAAAUAAGACUCAAAAACACUAAACUAGACUCUAUAGACUCAAAACUAACUCAAAAACACUCAAAACAGCUAGAAACAAUAAAAAAGACUCAAUUCUAGACCUAAAAAGUGAUUUGGACGAAAAUAGAACUUCAAAGACUCAAAAGACUUAAAAGAAACAAGUUUUGACUCUAAAAACAAGACUUAAAAGUAAGGGGUUUGGUUUUGACGAAAUUGACUUUUAAAACAUAAACUUUAAAAACAAACUUAACAAAAAACGAUUUUGGAUGAAAAAGAAUGGUGAAAGGC